rnacentral:rRNA from 1 species
UACGGGGGGGGCAAGCGUUGUUCGGAAUUACUGGGCGUAAAGGGCUCGUAGGCGGCCAACUAAGUCAGACGUGAAAUCCCUCGGCUUAACCGGGGAACUGCGUCUGAUACUGGAUGGCUUGAGUUUGGGAGAGGGAUGCGGAAUUCCAGGUGUAGCGGUGAAAUGCGUAGAUAUCUGGAGGAACACCGGUGGCGAAGGCGGCAUCCUGGACCAACACUGACGCUGAGUGAGCGAAAAGCCAGGGGGAGCAAACAGG